CAGCCCCUGCAAUGUUGGUGAUGGCAACAGUUAUUUGAGCCAACAGUCUAUUUGACGGGAGUUCUUCUUGCUUUGCGGUGUGCGAGCUUUUCCCGAGGGAACUUGAUUGCCUGAAGCGGAGCAGAGGACACCCCCUUGGUAACAAGGUUCAAAUAGAUCUGCCACACGGCGGCGCGGGGGCAUU
rnacentral:other from 1 species